rnacentral:sRNA from 1 species
UGCCGCCCCGCACAGGGGCGACGCAUGCAAACCGACAUGAAAACAGGUUCCAACACAAAGCAAAAAAGCACCAACUUCAAGCGCCCGCAGCAAUCC